rnacentral:rRNA from 1 species
UACGGAGGGUGCAAGCGUUAUCCGGAUUCACUGGGUUUAAAGGGUGCGUAGGUGGGUUGGUAAGUCAGUGGUGAAAUCGUUCAAGCUUAACUUCGGAACUGCCGUUGAUACUAUCAAUCUUGAAUACCGUGGAGGUCAGCGGAAUAUGUCAUGUAGCGGUGAAAUGCUUAGAUAAUGACAUAGAACACAAUUGCGAAGGCAGCUGGCUACACGAAUAUU